GUUGAGGAGGAAGACUGUUCCAGUCCUGAACAACCUGUCUGAACGACAGAAACACAAACAGAAACAGCUGUUUAAAAUCAACAAUCAGUCCGUUAUUGAUCAGAGUGAAAUCAUCAAAGAGGAUCCACAAACACGUGCAAAUCCGGACCUCAGAAACCAGGAAGUGCACGAGCGCAUGACGGACACGGCCACAUCCCAUCAUCCCGCCGAGCGCCACAGAGCCACAGAUUACAGCAGACAUUAAGCUCCGCAGAUCAAAUCAUUUCUUCAAAAAGUCUCCAGUCGUCAGCUUCUUCCGGUUUCCGCUCACCUUCCUCAGGAUGGACCAUCAGGACUGGCAGCGUGGACGCAGCAGAGGUCACAGGCACUACGACGAUGAUGAUGAAGCUCAGCCCUUCUACAUCGGCGUUCCCGCUUCCCACAGAAGGAAAAGGCGCAGACAUCACUCUCACGCCAGCGAGGCCGACCGCGACUCCAGACACGGCCCCUACGAGCACCACGAGCCCUCCCACCGAGGGCGUUACCACGGCAACGAGGAGCACUACGAGGACGACGAAGGCAGCCUGCUGCCCCAGGAGCCCGCCGACCCCUCAGUGUCUCCGGCUGCAGAGCGGCUACGCAGCAUCCUGGGGGAGGACGAUGGCGCCCCAACACCUACCAUCUUCACUGAGAUGGACACGCUGCAGCGGGACGGCGACGAGCUGGAGUGGAAGGAGUCUGCGAGGUGGGUGAAGUUUGAGGAGAAGGUGGAAGAGGGAGGAGAAAGAUGGAGCAAGCCCCACGUCUCCACGUUGACCCUCCACAGCCUGUUUGAGCUCAGAACCUGUCUGCAGACGGGAACCAUCAUGCUGGACCUGGAGGGGUACUCGCUGCCACAGAUUGUUGAGGAGAUCGUGGAUCGUCAGAUAGUUGACGGCCUCGUUCCACCUGAUCUGAAGGAGAAGAUCAUCUUCGUGCUGCUCAGGAAGCAUCGCCACCAAACCAAGAAACCAAUCCAUCGCUCACUGGCAGACAUCGGAAAGUCCUCCAACACGGCCGCCAACCGUAGUCCUCAUGUUAAUCUGAGUCGUAGUACUAGUUCAGCUUCUGGGAUCCACCGCUCCACAGAAGACCUACGCUCUCGGCAGUCAAGCAGCCUUGGCCGCCUGCAUCCGUUUCAGAGCCGAAGCAUGAACGACAUCUCAGACACUCCCAGCACAGACCAGCUGAAGAACAAGUUCAUGAAGAAGAUUCCUCGUGACGCCGAAGCCUCAAACGUCCUGAUCGGGGAGGUGGACUUCUUGGACAAACCGUUUGUGGCCUUCGUGCGUUUGGCUCAGGCCACGACUCUGGGGGGGCUCACCGAGGUUCCCGUCCCAACCAGGUUCCUCUUCAUCCUGCUGGGGCCUCAAGGGAAAACCAAAUCCUACAAUGAGAUCGGCAGAGCCAUCGCCACCCUCAUGGUGGACGACCUGUUCAGCGACGUCGCUUAUAAAGCGAGGGAGCGAGAGGACCUGAUCGCAGGAGUCGACGAGUUUCUGGACGAGGUGAUCGUUCUCCCUCCAGGAGAGUGGGACCCCAAAAUACGCAUCGAACCCCCGAAGAAAGUCCCGUCAGCUGAGAUGAGGAAGUCGGUGUUGAACCUGAACGAGCUCGGCCAGAUGAACGGCUCGGCUGGUGGAGCGGCUCCAGGAGAGGACGAGGAGCUUCCUGCUCCCCACGAGCUCGGAGAGGAGCUGAAAUUCACCGGGAGGAUUGGCGGUGGAUUGUGGCUCGACAUCAAAAGGAAGAUUCCAUUCUAUUGUAGCGAUAUCUACGAUGGCUUCCAUAUCCAGUCCAUUUCUGCAGUGCUCUUCAUCUACCUGGGCUGCAUUACCAACGCCAUUACCUUCGGAGGCCUGCUGGGAGAUGCUACAGACAACUACCAGGGAGUCAUGGAGAGCUUUCUCGGCACUGCUCUGGCGGGAACCGUCUUCUGCCUGUUCGGUGGACAGCCCCUCAUCAUCCUCAGCUCCACUGGACCCAUUCUCAUCUUUGAAAAACUUCUGUUUGAGUUCAGCAAGAGCAACGGCGUGGACUACAUGGAGCUCCGUCUGUGGAUCGGCCUUCACUCCUGUCUGCAGUGCUUUGUUCUGGUGCUGUCCGACGCCAGCUACAUCAUCAAGUACAUGACCCGCUUCACGGAGGAGGGCUUCUCCAGCCUCAUCUCCUUCAUCUUCAUCUCUGAUGCCAUCAAGAAGAUGGUCUCGUGCUUCAAGUACUAUCCAAUCAACCAGGGCUUCAAACCGGACUACAUCACCUCCUACAAGUGUGAAUGCAUCGCCCCGGACCAGGAAUCUGCGCUGGGCUUGAAUGUUUCAGCUCCGCUGGCAGACGAUAACAUGACUCUGCUGUUUAACUUGACAGAUCUGGACUGGAGUCAGCUGAGUAAGAAGGAGUGUGUUAAGUACGGAGGCGCUCUGGUGGGCAGCUCCUGUAAGUACGUUCCUGACCUGGCCCUCAUGUCCUUCAUCCUCUUCUUUGGAACCUACUCCAUGACCGUGUCUCUCAAGAAGUUCAAGUUCAGCCGCUACUUCCCAACGAAGCUCCGUGUCCUCAUCAGUGAUUUCGCCAUCAUCAUCUCCAUCCUGGUCUUCUGCGGGCUGGACUGUCUGCUGCAGCUGGACACUCCCAAACUGCAUGUCCCCACUGAGAUCAAGAUGAGGAAGCUAAUCAGUGAUUUUGCCAUCUUCAUGUCAAUCAUGUCGUUUGUGGGUCUGGAUUUGUUGAUGGGGUUAGACACUCCCAAACUAAUCGUUCCAACAGAGUUUAAGCCGACACGCAUUGACCGCGGUUGGUUGGUGACGCCUUUUGGGAAGAACCCCUGGUGGUGGUACCUGGCCAGCUUCGUUCCAGCUCUCCUGGUCACCAUUCUCAUCUUCAUGGAUCAGCAGAUCAGUGCCGUGAUCGUCAACCGCAACGAAAACAAGCUGAAGAAAGGCUGUGGCUACCACCUGGACCUGUUCUGGGUGGGGGUGCUGAUGGCGGUCUGCUCCUUCAUGGGUCUGCCGUGGUACGUGGCCGCCACCGUCAUCUCCAUCGCCCACAUUGACUCUCUGAAGAUGGAGAGCGAAACCAGCGCCCCUGGGGAACAGCCGCAGUUCCUGGGAGUCAGGGAGCAACGUCUGACGGGAACCUUGGUGUUUGUUCUGACCGGACUCUCGGUCUUCCUCGCUCCGGUCCUGAAGUACAUCCCCAUGCCCGUCCUGUACGGCGUCUUCCUCUACAUGGGAGUGGCUUCGCUGAGUGGCAUCCAGUUCUGGGAGCGGAUCAAGCUGUACCUGAUGCCCCCCAAACACCAGCCAGACUUCUCCUUCCUGCGCCACGUCCCCCUCAGACGGGUCCAUCUGUUCACGCUGGUCCAGAUCGUCUGCCUGGCCGUCCUCUGGAUCCUCAAAUCCACCUUCUUGGCCAUCAUCUUCCCAGUGAUGAUUCUGGGUCUGAUGGUCGUACGAAAGCUGCUGGAUCUGAUGUUCUCGCAGCACGACUUAGCCUGGCUGGAUGACAUCCUACCGGACAAAGACAAGAAGAAGAAGGAGGACGAGAAGAAGAAGAAGAAAGAGAAGAAGGCAGUGGAGCCGGAGAGCGAUGAAGAGGAGAUGAACCCCUACUCCACAGUCACGUCUGACCAAAAUGAGCUUGACCGCAGCAUCACUCUACACCUGAAGAUCUCCUGCCCCCCCUCACCUGAUCACUCCCAGAAGGGCCUGCUCGCCCCCCUGGACCCCCAGCGGCCGCCUCACCAGCCCGUCCCCCAGGUCAGCAUCCGGGUGGAGUCAGACAGCGAGGAGUCUGGCGUUUACUCCAGAGAGCACCGAUACAACCCGUUUGCCCCCGCUGACCCCCCAGCACCACUCGACACCCACAGGGCCCGCCUCAGGGCUCCGCAUGCUCGCUUCAGCGACUCCUGUGCAGAAACCAUCCUGUGAAGUGAAACUUUGGAGGAAGAGGGUGCAGACUGAACCCAGCUUGGAACCACAGCGCCCUCUAGUGAUGUUUCAAUGAGUUUCAUUUUGAAAUGUAAAUUAUGUGGCUGUGCUUUCAUUUUGAAGAAAAUGUCAAGUAGACUGAAUAAAUACAAAUUGAGAAAUGUUAUAAUUUAAGGAGCUUAAGCUCAUGUUGAUCUGCUUUAACCAGAAAAAUAUUUUAGGUUUUAAACAGUUUUUCCUCAGUAUUUGUAUUUUUUUGUCUCCCUCCCCUGAGACAUUCAACACCCUGACCAGCUUUGAAAUGAAACCAGGUACUUGUGCUUUAAUUUGCCUUUAUUAGCUUGAACACUUUGUAAACAGAAGCAAACAUUUUAAUUUCAGUUUCACUGAAGAGUAGAGCUCAAUUAAAAAAGAAUUCUGGAACUGCAAGCUUAAAGGAAUGAACUAGUGUGUGAACACCGGCUAAACUUGUUGGCACACAAAGGCGGAUUAGUUUAGUUUCCUCCUCUCAGGCGGAGCACCAGGUGGAGGGUGGACUCCUUCUGGAUGUUGUAGUCGGACAGGGUGCGGCCAUCUUCCAACUGUUUUCCGGCAAAGAUCAGCCUCUGCUGGUCGGGAGGGAUGCCUUCCUUAUCCUGGAUUUUGGCCUUCACGUUUUCAAUUGUGUCACUGGGCUCCACCUCCAGGGUGAUGGUCUUUCCAGUGAGGGUUUUCACAAAGAUCUGCAUCUUGACA